rnacentral:rRNA from 1 species
UACGAAGGGGGCUAGCGUUGCUCGGAAUCACUGGGCGUAAAGCGCACGUAGGCGGAUUGUUAAGUCAGGGGUGAAAUCCUGGAGCUCAACUCCAGAACUGCCUUUGAUACUGGCGAUCUUGAGUCCGGGAGAGGUGAGUGGAACUGCGAGUGUAGAGGUGAAAUGCGUAGAUAUCUGGAGGAACACCGGUGGCGAAGGCGGCAUUCUGGACUGCAACUGACGCUGAAAAACGAAAGCCAGGGGAGCAAACGGG